GUGAGGAAUAUUGGUCAAUGGUCUGACGACUGAACCAGCCAUGCCGCGUGAAGGUGACGGCCCUAUGGGUCUUAAACUUCUUUUGCAAGGGAGCAAUAAGGCGUACGUGUACGUCGAUGAGAGUACCUUGCGAAUAAGCAUCGGCUAACUCCGUGCCAGCAGCCGCGGUAAUACGGGGGAUGCAAGCGUUAUCCGGAUUUAUUGGGUUUAAAGGGUGCGUAGGCGGUCUGGUAAGUCAGCGGUGAAAUUUAGGGGCUCAACCUCUACCGUGCCGUUGAUACUGUCAGGCUAGAAUGCGGAUGCCGUGGGAGGAAUGUGUGGUGUAGCGGUGAAAUGCAUAGAUAUCACACAGAACACCGAUUGCGAAGGCAUCUCACGAAUCCGCAAUUGACGCUGAUGCACGAAAGCGUGGGGAUCAAACAGGAUUAGAAACCCCAGUAGUCC
rnacentral:rRNA from 1 species